CUAGCCUACUAACUAGUCACUGGAUAAUUAAGUCCAGACGACUUCUUAGAGGGACAAGCGGUGUUCAGCCGCACGAAGUUGAGCAAUAACAGGUCUGUGAUGCCCUUAGAUGUCCAGGGCUGCACGCGCGCUACACUGGAGGAAUCAGCGUGCUGUAACCAUUGUCGAAAGGCAUUGGUAACCCCUUGAAAAUCCUCCGUGAUCGGGAUCGGGAAUUGCAAUUAUUUCCCUUGAACGAGGAAUUCCUAGUAAGUGUGAGUCAUCAGCUCACGUUGAUUACGUCCCUGCCCUUUGUACACACCGCCCGUCGCUGCCCGGGACUGAGCCGUUUCGAGAAAAGCGGGGACUGCUGUUUCGAGACCUUUCGGGGUGGAGAUUCUUUGGUGGAAACCGCCUUAAUCGCAGUGGCUUGAACCGGGCAAAAGUCGUAACAAGGUUUCCGUAGGUGAACCUGCGGAAGGAUCAUUAUCGAGCUUCCAAAAGCCUCAUACCGUGCAUACUUUCCAUUUGUGCGAUAAUGAGCCGUGCAGCGAAUUGCAAAUAAGGUCGUCGGCUGUAUUGGCUGACAAUGGCUGGCAAAUCGCAUAUGCGCGAUAAGGUUUCUUGAGUGGCAUGUCAUGCUAGACGACAUGCCGCAAGCGCUCUUGAAUCCGUAAUUUGUAGCCACGGUGUCUCUAGCUGGCGUCUAUGCCUCAUCGAGCUGUCCGCCCGACCGUCGGUGGCGAUGAAAAUGAGGAGAGCAGUUCCUCGAAAUGCUGUUGCCUUUUCCGGGAGGUCAUAUGCGUUUCGGGUAGAGCAGACUUAAUAAGCGUUCAGCCUGUGCGCUGCCAGCACCCAAAACACACCUGUACUAUGUACUUGAAAUGUGAAUGCUUUACAUGCAUUCAACAAUUUAUUACUCUUAGCGGUGGAUCACUCGGUUCGUGGA
rnacentral:rRNA from 1 species